rnacentral:rRNA from 1 species
CCUACGGGAGGCAGCAGUGGGGAAUAUUGCACAAUGGGGGGAACCCUGAUGCAGCGACGCCGCGUGAGUGAAGAAGUAUUUCGGUAUGUAAAGCUCUAUCAGCAGGGAAGAAAAUGACGGUACCUGACUAAGAAGCCCCGGCUAACUACGUGCCAGCAGCCGCGGUAAUACGUAGGGGGCAAGCGUUAUCCGGAUUUACUGGGUGUAAAGGGAGCGCAGACGGCUGUGCAAGUCUGGAGUGAAAGGGGGGGGCCCAACCCCCGGACUGCUCUGGAAACUGUAAAGCUGGAGUGCAGGAGAGGUAAGCGGAAUUCCUAGUGUAGCGGUGAAAUGCGUAGAUAUUAGGAGGAACACCAGUGGCGAAGGCGGCUUACUGGACUGCAACUGACGUUGAGGCUCGAAAGCGUGGGGAGCAAACAGGAUUAGAUACCCGUGUAGUC